UAAGCACGAGCUAUAAAAAAA
rnacentral:piRNA from 1 species